AUUGAACGCUGGCGGCAUGCUUUACACAUGCAAGUCGGACGGCAGCGGGGGUGCUUGCACCUGCCGGCGAGUGGCGAACGGGUGAGUAACAUAUUGGAAUGUACCGAGUAGUGGGGGAUAACCAAUCGAAAGAUUGGCUAAUACCGCAUACGUCCUGAGGGGGAAAGCAGGGGAUCUUCGGACCUUGCGCUAUUUGAGCAGCCAAUAUCUGAUUAGCUAGUUGGUGGGGUAAAGGCCCACCAAGGCGACGAUCAGUAGCGGGUCUGAGAGGAUGAUCCGCCACACUGGGACUGAGACACGGCCCAGACUCCUACGGGAGGCAGCAGUGGGGAAUUUUGGACAAUGGGGGCAACCCUGAUCCAGCCAUGCCGCGUGUCUGAAGAAGGCCUUCGGGUUGUAAAGGACUUUUGUUAGGGAAGAAAAGGGAAGUGUUAAUACCACUUUUUGCUGACG
rnacentral:rRNA from 1 species